rnacentral:lncRNA from 1 species
GUAAUUUAUUUUUCCAUAUUUUUUUAUUUAUUUUUUACAAUUUUGUUUUCAUAUCUAUUUAUCUAAAGAAUACAUGUUCCCCCAAAAUGAAGUCCUUAGAUGUACUUAUUUAAAUUAAUCCUGGAAGAUAUGUUGUUACUUUUAUACAGCUGGAUUAGUGCUAUAUGCCAAUGGAAAUUUUACGAAUAAUGAAUUGAAUCAUUGGGUUUUAAUGGAACAUUUAGCUGUAAGAUUCCGAUUCAAGAAUCUGAUCCAAAUUCUCAUAUUUGUUUUAAACUAUUCUAAAACAUAUAUACAAUUUACAAAAGUAAAAAAAAAAGCCAAUGAACAAUGCCUUGAUUCCCCAAAAAAGUAAAACAUUUGUAUGGAUUUUAGACAAAGACAGUCCAUCAAAUUAAAUCUUGAGAUGUCCUCUAAAGUCUGCAGAUGUUCAUAUCACAUGAUCAUAUCACAUGAUGUACACAUAAAUAUAAAAAAAAACAGACAAAAACAAGCGAUAGUUUAGGACCAUUUGACUUAGUUGGUUUGAUUUCAUGUCAAAGAUUAAAGAUUUCAUAAGGGGUUGAGCGGAACCUAGAGUUUCGCCUGCUAUUGCUGCUGUAAGUGUCAUAUUGAAUUUAAAAAGAGAAAGUCUAUUAUCAGUAAUAUACAGAAAUUAAAACUAGAGGCUCUAAAGAGCCUGUGUCGCGCACCUUGAUCUAUGUGAAUAUUAAACAAAGGACGCAGAUGGAUUCAUGACAAAAUUUGUUUUGGUGAUGGUGAUGUGUUUGUACUGAACAUUCUUGCUGCUUACAAUUAUCUCUAUCCAUAAUGAACUUGGCCCAGUAGUUUCAGUGGAAAAUGUUAGUAAAAAUUUACAAAUUUUAUGAAAAUUGUUAAAAAUUGACUAUAAAGGACAAUAACUCCUUAGGGGGUCCGGUCCAUUGACCAUUUUGGUCAUGUUGACUUAUUUAGGUCUAACUUUGCUAUACAUUAUUGCUGUUUACAGUUUAUCUCUUUCUAUAAUAAUAUUCAAGAUAAUAACAAAAAACGGCAAAAUUUCCUUAAUAUUACCAAUUCAGGGGCAGCAACCUAACAACGAGUUGUCAGAUUCAUCUAAAAAUUUCAGGGAAGAUAGAUCACGACCUGAUAAACAAUUGAACCCAUGUCAGAUUUGAUCUAAAUGCUUUGGUUUUUGAGUUAUAAGCCAAAAACUGCAUUUUACAUCUAUGUUCUAUUUUAGCCGCGGCGGUCAUCUCGGUUGGAUGGACAGGUCACUGGACACAUUUUUUAAACUAGAUACCCCAAAGAUGAUUGUGGCCAAGUUUGGAUUAAUUUGGCUUAGUAGUUUCAGAGGAGAAGAUUUUUGUAAAAGAUUACUUAGAUUUACGAAAAAUGGUUAAAAAUUGACUAUAAAGGACAAUAACUCCUACAGGGGUCAACUGACCAUUUUGGUCAUGUCACGUAUUUGUAAAUCUUACUUUGCUGAACAUAAUUGCUGUUUACAGUUUAUCUCUAUCUAUAAUAAUAUUCAAGAUAACUCAAAACAGCAAAAUUUCCUUAAAAUAACCAAUUCAGGGGCAGCAAACAACGGGUUGUCCAAUUCAUCUGAAAAUUUCUGGGCAGAUAAAUCUUGACCUGAUAAACAAUUUUAAUCAAUGUCAGAUUUGCUCUAAAUGCUUUGGUUUCAGAGAUAUAAGCCAAAAUCUACAUUUUACCCCUAUGUUCUAUUUUAGCCAUGGCGGCCAUCUUGGUUGGUUGACCAGGUCACCGGACAAAUUUUUCAAACUAGAUACCCCAAUGAUGAUUGUGGCUUAGUUUGGUUAAAUUUGACCCAGUAUUUUCAGAGAAGAUUUUUGUAAAAGUUAACAGACGACGCCUGACGAAGCCGGAUACCGGACGCAAAAUGAUGAGAAAACCUCACUUUGCCCUUCUGGUCAGGUGAGCUAAAAAGAUCAAACUUUUGUCUUUGAUGCUGUUGCUAAAUAUUUUAUGAAUUUAAAUUUAUAUUUAUCAUACAUAAUAAGAUUUAAUACUUGAAUAUUUUUUUAUUUCUAGAAUUUUGGUUAAUCAUGAAUAAAUCAUACAAAGAAAUGAACUUGCACAAGGUCAUGGUUUUCUCCAAUUGUCAAUGACGUCUUGACACUAAAUUCAUUGGUGUGAAUGUGUACUGAUUGAUAUUUUAGUCUUAGAUGCAUCAUUUUUUUAUGAGUUGUUAUUGUCUUUGAACUAGCUACACAGUAGCGUCUUUUUUGUUGUGAGGAUUUAUAAGUACCCUUCCACUUCUUCUUCAUUGUUGAAAAUAUUCACAAUUUUGGAUAAUUUGGAUAAAUUUAAAAUAUGCCCACUUUUUACACCACCAUUUAUGUUUAUUAUCUAGAACUGUGUUUACAAUUUUGUUUUCAUAUUAUUUUUUUGUCAUAUUAUCUUUUUUAAGGUUGUUUUUUUUCAUGCAAAGCUCCAUCUAGAUAAUUAAAAUAUCAGAUGUUUUUUAUUUCAUAUAUUAUUGAAAAA